AGUUUAUGAGCUUGAUAAAGUUUAUGUUUUGAAAACAUAUUAUAGAAAUUUAAAUUUUCUAUAAACUU
rnacentral:tRNA from 1 species